GACGAACGCUGGCGGCGUGCCUAACACAUGCAAGUCGAACGGCAAGGCCCUGCUUUCUUGGUGUGCUCGAGUGGCGAUCGGGUGAGUAACACGUGAGUAACCUGCUCUUGACUUUGGGAUAACUUCAGGAAACUGGGCCUAAUACCGGAUAGCAGCUCCCGCUCCAUGGUGGGCGUUGGAACUUCGCGGCGGUCGGGGAUGGACUCGCGGCUUAUCAGCUAGUUGGUGGGGUAGUGGCUGACCAAGGCUUUGACGGAUAGCCGGCAUGAGAGGGUGACCGGGCACAUUGGGACUGAGAUACGGCCCAGACUCCUACGGGAGGCAGCAGGGGGAAGUAUUACACAAUGGGCGGGAGCCGGAGGAAGAGACGCCGCGUGCGGGAUGACGGCCUUCGGGGUGUAAACAGCAUUAGCCUGAGACGAAGCGGGAGUGACGGUAAUGAGUGAAGAAGCACCGGCUAACUACGUG
rnacentral:rRNA from 1 species